UCCGGGGCUCAUAACCUGUUG
rnacentral:miRNA from 1 species